rnacentral:rRNA from 1 species
UACGUAGGGGCCUAGCGUUGUCCGGAAUUAUUGGGCGUAAAGAGCUCGUAGGCGGUUCGGCAAGUCGGAUGUGAAAUCUCCACGCUUAACGUGGAGGGGCCAUUCGAAACUGCUGUGACUCGAGUCCGGUAGGGGAGUGUGGAAUUCCCGGUGUAGCGGUGAAAUGCGCAGAUAUCGGGAGGAACACCGGUGGCGAAGGCGGGUCUCUGGGCCGACAUUGGACGCUGAGGAGCGAAAGCGUGGGGAGCGAACAGG